AACGAACGCUGGCGGCAUGCCUAACACAUGCAAGUCGAACGAAGGCUUCGGCCUUAGUGGCGCACGGGUGCGUAACGCGUGGGAAUCUGCCCUUUGGUUCGGAAUAACAGCUGGAAACGGCUGCUAAUACCGGAUGAUGACGAAAGUCCAAAGAUUUAUCGCCAGAGGAUGAGCCCGCGUUGGAUUAGGUAGUUGGUGGGGUAAAGGCCUACCAAGCCGACGAUCCAUAGCUGGUCUGAGAGGAUGAUCAGCCACACUGGGACUGAGACACGGCCCAGACUCCUACGGGAGGCAGCAGUGGGGAAUAUUGGACGAUGGGCGCAAGCCUGAUCCAGCAAUGCCGCGUGAGUGAUGAAGGCCCUAGGGUUGUAAAGCUCUUUUACCCGGGAAGAUAAUGACUGUACCGGGUGAAUAAGCCCCGGCUAACUCCGUG
rnacentral:rRNA from 1 species